rnacentral:rRNA from 1 species
UUGAACGCUGGCGGCAGGCCUAACACAUGCAAGUCGAGCGGUAACACAGAGAGCUUGCUCUCGGGUGACGAGCGGCGGACGGGUGAGUAAUGUCUGGGAAACUGCCUGAUGGAGGGGGAUAACUACUGGAAACGGUAGCUAAUACCGCAUAACGUCGCAAGACCAAAGUGGGGGACCUUCGGGCCUCAUGCCAUCAGAUGUGCCCAGAUGGGAUUAGCUAGUAGGUGGGGUAACGGCUCACCUAGGCGACGAUCCCUAGCUGGUCUGAGAGGAUGACCAGCCACACUGGAACUGAGACACGGUCCAGACUCCUACGGGAGGCAGCAGUGGGGAAUAUUGCACAAUGGGCGCAAGCCUGAUGCAGCCAUGCCGCGUGUGUGAAGAAGGCCUUCGGGUUGUAAAGCACUUUCAGCGGGGAGGAAGGCGGUGAGGUUAAUAACCUCAUCGAUUGACGUUACCCGCAGAAGAAGCACCGGCUAACUCCGUGCCAGCAGCCGCGGUAAUACGGAGGGUGCAAGCGUUAAUCGGAAUUACUGGGCGUAAAGCGCACGCAGGCGGUCUGUCAAGUCGGAUGUGAAAUCCCCGGGCUCAACCUGGGAACUGCAUUCGAAACUGGCAGGCUAGAGUCUUGUAGAGGGGGGUAGAAUUCCAGGUGUAGCGGUGAAAUGCGUAGAGAUCUGGAGGAAUACCGGUGGCGAAGGCGGCCCCCUGGACAAAGACUGACGCUCAGGUGCGAAAGCGUGGGGAGCAAACAGGAUUAGAUACCCUGGUAGUCCACGCCGUAAACGAUGUCGACUUGGAGGUUGUGCCCUUGAGGCGUGGCUUCCGGAGCUAACGCGUUAAAUCGACCGCCUGGGGAGUACGGCCGCAAGGUUAAAACUCAAAUGAAUUGACGGGGGCCCGCACAAGCGGUGGAGCAUGUGGUUUAAUUCGAUGCAACGCGAAGAACCUUACCUGGUCUUGACAUCCACAGAACUUUCCAGAGAUGGAUUGGUGCCUUCGGGAACUGUGAGACAGGUGCUGCAUGGCUGUCGUCAGCUCGUGUUGUGAAAUGUUGGGUUAAGUCCCGCAACGAGCGCAACCCUUAUCCUUUGUUGCCAGCGGUUAGGCCGGGAACUCAAAGGAGACUGCCAGUGAUAAACUGGAGGAAGGUGGGGAUGACGUCAAGUCAUCAUGGCCCUUACGACCAGGGCUACACACGUGCUACAAUGGCAUAUACAAAGAGAAGCGACCUCGCGAGAGCAAGCGGACCUCAUAAAGUAUGUCGUAGUCCGGAUUGGAGUCUGCAACUCGACUCCAUGAAGUCGGAAUCGCUAGUAAUCGUAGAUCAGAAUGCUACGGUGAAUACGUUCCCGGGCCUUGUACACACCGCCCGUCACACCAUGGGAGUGGGUUGCAAAAGAAGUAGGUAGCUUAACCUUCGGGAGGGCGCUUACCACUUUGUGAUUCAUGACUGGGGUG